rnacentral:rRNA from 1 species
GAUGAACGCUGGCGGCGUGCCUAAUACAUGCAAGUCGAGCGGAUGGAUUAAGAGCUUGCUCUUAUGAAGUUAGCGGCGGACGGGUGAAUAACACGUGGGUAACCUGCCCAUAAGACUGGGAUAACUCCGGGAAACCGGGGCUAAUACCGGAUAACAUUUUGAACCGCAUGGUUCGAAAUUGAAAGGCGGCUUCGGCUGUCACCUAUGGAUGGACCCGCGUCGCAUUAGCUAGUUGGUGAGGUAACGGCUCACCAAGGCAACGAUGCGUAGCCGACCUGAGAGGGUGAUCGGCCACACUGGGACUGAGACACGGCCCAGACUCCUACGGGAGGCAGCAGUAGGGAAUCUUCCGCAAUGGACGAAAGUCUGACGGAGCAACGCCGCGUGAGUGAUGAAGGCUUUCGGGUCGUAAAACUCUGUUGUUAGGGAAGAACAAGUGCUAGUUGAAUAAGCUGGCACCUUGACGGUACCUAACCAGAAAGCCACGGCUAACUACGUGCCAGCAGCCGCCGUAAGAC